rnacentral:misc_RNA from 1 species
UCCGGUUUGUCACCGGCAGUCUCCCUAGAGUGCCCUUGCGUAGCAACUAGGGACAAGGGUUGCGCUCGUUGCGGGACUUAACCCAACAUCUCACGACACGAGCUGACGACAGCCAUGCAGCACCUGUGUAAUGGUUCCCUUUCGGGCACUUCCAAAUCUCUCCGGAAUUCCAUCCAUGUCAAGGGUAGGUAAGGUUUUUCGCGUUGCAUCGAAUUAAUCCACAUCAUCCACCGCUUGUGCGGGUCCCCGUCAAUUCCUUUGAGUUUUAAUCUUGCGACCGUACUCCCCAGGCGGUCUACUUCACGCGUUAGCUGCGUUACCAAGUCAAUUAAGACCCGACAACUAGUAGACAUCGUUUAGGGCGUGGACUAC